rnacentral:rRNA from 1 species
UAAAGCUACUCUCAGUUCGGAUUGUAGGCUGAAACUCGCCUACAUGAAGCUGGAGUUACUAGUAAUCGCAGAUCAGAAUGCUGCGGUGAAUGCGUUCCCGGGUCUUGUACACACCGCCCGUCACACCACGGGAGUUGGAGACGCCCGAAGCCGAUUAUCUAACCUUUUGGAAGAAGUCGUCGAAGGUGGAAUCAAUAACUGGGGUGAAGUCGUAACAAGGUAGCCGUAUCGGAAGGGGCGGCUGGAUCACCUCCUUUCUAAGGAGA